rnacentral:rRNA from 1 species
AGCGAACGCUGGCGGCAGGCCUAACACAUGCAAGUCGAACGAAGUCUUCGGACUUAGUGGCGGACGGGUGAGUAACACGUGGGAACGUGCCUUUAGGUUCGGAAUAACUCAGGGAAACUUGUGCUAAUACCGAAUGUGCCCUUCGGGGGAAAGAUUUAUCGCCUUUAGAGCGGCCCGCGUCUGAUUAGCUAGUUGGUGAGGUAAAGGCGCACCAAGGCGACGAUCAGUAGCUGGUCAGAGAGGAUGAUCAGCCACAUUGGGACUGAGACACGGCCCAAACUCCGACGGGAGGCAGCAGUGGGGAAUCUUGCGCAAUGGGCGAAAGCCUGAUGCAGCCAUGCCGCGUGAAUGAUGAAGGUCUUAGGAUUGUAAAAUUCUUUCACCGGGGACGAUAAUGACGGUACCCGGAGAAGAAGCCCCGGCUAACUUCGUGCCAGCCGCCGCGGUAACAC